AAAUGAACUAUAUUUAAUCCUCGUAAAGUGUUAAUUAUUAUUGUUAUUAUUUUUAGCUGAUGUAUUUCGGAACAGAUGUCUGAUGAGGUUGAUUUGUUUUAGGUUUUAGAAGAUUAUUUAAAAUCAAAUCAACCUCGUGGUUUCGACAGAACUGAUGUAAUUAAUUUUUAUUCAUUUGGUUAAUUUUCCAAUUGAACCAAAACACUAAGUCAUGAUUAAUAUUUACACAGUAAUAUUAAUUUAGGCACAAUUUAUCUAAAAGCUAAAAUUGUCAAACUACUUUAGGGACUGUUUAUUUUUACAUGUGUGCUGCUGCAGGAACUUGAGCUUUACAGCUGAAGAACAAACAGAUUAAGUUUGUUAAAUGGUUUUCAGUCAAACCUUAAUGAUGAKUUGCAUGUGAGUCCGUGUUUCACCUGAAGCUGAUGAUUAUUUUUUCACUGCACUGAUGGGUUUGACUUGUUUUAUUGUUUUAAGUUGUUUACAGUCGAGGGAAUGAAUUUUAACAAUGUUUUUAUUUAUUUAUUUUUUUAGGAUUAAAUCUGUGGAUGUCUAUUAAUAAGGGGGAACUCCUCACCACUGGCUCACCUUCAGUUUUGAACAGACCAAUUGUGGGGAUGUUAAAAUUGUAGAAAAAAAUUAAAGUGUGGUGACAGGAUA